rnacentral:tRNA from 1 species
GGACAAGUGGUGUAGUGGUAAUACGUCGCGCUCGGACGUGAAGAAGAGUGGUUCGAUUCCCUACUGGUCCA